rnacentral:rRNA from 1 species
CCUACGGGGGGCAGCAGUGGGGAAUAUUGCACAAUGGGGGAAACCCUGAUGCAGCGACGCCGCGUGAGCGAAGAAGUAUUUCGGUAUGUAAAGCUCUAUCAGCAGGGAAGAAAAUGACGGUACCUGACUAAGAAGCCCCGGCUAAAUACGUGCCAGCAGCCGCGGUAAUACGUAUGGGGCAAGCGUUAUCCGGAUUUACUGGGUGUAAAGGGAGCGCAGGCGGCUUGGCAAGUCUGAUGUGAAAGGCAGGGGCCCAACCCCUGGACUGCUCUGGAAACUGUCCGGCUGGAGUGCAGGAGAGGUAA